GGGUUGUGAGGUUAAGCGACUAAGCGUACACGGUGGAUGCCCUGGCAGUCAGAGGCGAUGAAGGACGUGCUAAUCUGCGAUAAGCGUCGGUAAGGUGAUAUGAACCGUUAUAACCGGCGAUUUCCGAAUGGGGAAACCCAGUGUGUUUCGACACACUAUCAUUAACUGAAUCCAUAGGUUAAUGAGGCGAACCGGGGGAACUGAAACAUCUAAGUACCCCGAGGAAAAGAAAUCAACCGAGAUUCCCCCAGUAGCGGCGAGCGAACGGGGAGCAGCCCAGAGCCUGAAUCAGUGUGUGUGUUAGUGGAAGCGUCUGGAAAGGCGCGCGAUACAGGGUGACAGCCCCGUACACAAAAAUGCACAUGCUGUGAGCUCGAUGAGUAGGGCGGGACACGUGGUAUCCUGUCUGAAUAUGGGGGACCAUCCUCCAAGGCUAAAUACUCCUGACUGACCGAUAGUGAACCAGUACCGUGAGGGAAAGGCGAAAAGAACCCCGGCGAGGGGAGUGAAAAAGAACCUGAAACCGUGUACGUACAAGCAGUGGGAGCACGCUUAGGCGUGUGACUGCGUACCUUUUGUAUAAUGGGUCAGCGACUUAUAUUCUGUAGCAAGGUUAACCGAAUAGGGGAGCCGAAGGGAAACCGAGUCUUAACUGGGCGUUAAGUUGCAGGGUAUAGACCCGAAACCCGGUGAUCUAGCCAUGGGCAGGUUGAAGGUUGGGUAACACUAACUGGAGGACCGAACCGACUAAUGUUGAAAAAUUAGCGGAUGACUUGUGGCUGGGGGUGAAAGGCCAAUCAAACCGGGAGAUAGCUGGUUCUCCCCGAAAGCUAUUUAGGUAGCGCCUCGUGAAUUCAUCUCCGGGGGUAGAGCACUGUUUCGGCAAGGGGGUCAUCCCGACUUACCAACCCGAUGCAAACUGCGAAUACCGGAGAAUGUUAUCACGGGAGACACACGGCGGGUGCUAACGUCCGUCGUGAAGAGGGAAACAACCCAGACCGCCAGCUAAGGUCCCAAAGUCAUGGUUAAGUGGGAAACGAUGUGGGAAGGCCCAGACAGCCAGGAUGUUGGCUUAGAAGCAGCCAUCAUUUAAAGAAAGCGUAAUAGCUCACUGGUCGAGUCGGCCUGCGCGGAAGAUGUAACGGGGCUAAACCAUGCACCGAAGCUGCGGCAGCGACGCUUAUGCGUUGUUGGGUAGGGGAGCGUUCUGUAAGCCUGCGAAGGUGUGCUGUGAGGCAUGCUGGAGGUAUCAGAAGUGCGAAUGCUGACAUAAGUAACGAUAAAGCGGGUGAAAAGCCCGCUCGCCGGAAGACCAAGGGUUCCUGUCCAACGUUAAUCGGGGCAGGGUGAGUCGACCCCUAAGGCGAGGCCGAAAGGCGUAGUCGAUGGGAAACAGGUUAAUAUUCCUGUACUUGGUGUUACUGCGAAGGGGGGACGGAGAAGGCUAUGUUGGCCGGGCGACGGUUGUCCCGGUUUAAGCGUGUAGGCUGGUUUUCCAGGCAAAUCCGGAAAAUCAAGGCUGAGGCGUGAUGACGAGGCACUACGGUGCUGAAGCAACAAAUGCCCUGCUUCCAGGAAAAGCCUCUAAGCAUCAGGUAACAUCAAAUCGUACCCCAAACCGACACAGGUGGUCAGGUAGAGAAUACCAAGGCGCUUGAGAGAACUCGGGUGAAGGAACUAGGCAAAAUGGUGCCGUAACUUCGGGAGAAGGCACGCUGAUAUGUAGGUGAAGUCCCUCGCGGAUGGAGCUGAAAUCAGUCGAAGAUACCAGCUGGCUGCAACUGUUUAUUAAAAACACAGCACUGUGCAAACACGAAAGUGGACGUAUACGGUGUGACGCCUGCCCGGUGCCGGAAGGUUAAUUGAUGGGGUUAGCGCAAGCGAAGCUCUUGAUCGAAGCCCCGGUAAACGGCGGCCGUAACUAUAACGGUCCUAAGGUAGCGAAAUUCCUUGUCGGGUAAGUUCCGACCUGCACGAAUGGCGUAAUGAUGGCCAGGCUGUCUCCACCCGAGACUCAGUGAAAUUGAACUCGCUGUGAAGAUGCAGUGUACCCGCGGCAAGACGGAAAGACCCCGUGAACCUUUACUAUAGCUUGACACUGAACAUUGAGCCUUGAUGUGUAGGAUAGGUGGGAGGCUUUGAAGUGUGGACGCCAGUCUGCAUGGAGCCGACCUUGAAAUACCACCCUUUAAUGUUUGAUGUUCUAACGUGGACCCGUAAUCCGGGUUGCGGACAGUGUCUGGUGGGUAGUUUGACUGGGGCGGUCUCCUCCUAAAGAGUAACGGAGGAGCACGAAGGUUGGCUAAUCCUGGUCGGACAUCAGGAGGUUAGUGCAAUGGCAUAAGCCAGCUUGACUGCGAGCGUGACGGCGCGAGCAGGUGCGAAAGCAGGUCAUAGUGAUCCGGUGGUUCUGAAUGGAAGGGCCAUCGCUCAACGGAUAAAAGGUACUCCGGGGAUAACAGGCUGAUACCGCCCAAGAGUUCAUAUCGACGGCGGUGUUUGGCACCUCGAUGUCGGCUCAUCACAUCCUGGGGCUGAAGUAGGUCCCAAGGGUAUGGCUGUUCGCCAUUUAAAGUGGUACGCGAGCUGGGUUUAGAACGUCGUGAGACAGUUCGGUCCCUAUCUGCCGUGGGCGCUGGAGAACUGAGGGGGGCUGCUCCUAGUACGAGAGGACCGGAGUGGACGCAUCACUGGUGUUCGGGUUGUCAUGCCAAUGGCACUGCCCGGUAGCUAAAUGCGGAAGAGAUAAGUGCUGAAAGCAUCUAAGCACGAAACUUGCCCCGAGAUGAGUUCUCCCUGACUCCUUGAGAGUCCUGAAGGAACGUUGAAGACGACGACGUUGAUAGGCCGGGUGUGUAAGCGCAGCGAUGCGUUGAGCUAACCGGUACUAAUGAACCGUGAGGCUUAACCUUACAACGCCGAAGCUGUU
rnacentral:rRNA from 1 species